UUGUAGCUCAGUUGGUUAGAGCACCCGUUUAGUAAGCGGGAGGUCUUGAGUUCAAUUCUUAACAA
rnacentral:tRNA from 1 species